rnacentral:rRNA from 1 species
AACGCGAAGAACCUUACCAGGUCUUGACAUCCUCUGACAAUCCUAGAGAUAGGACUUUCCCCUUCGGGGGACAGAGUGACAGGUGGUGCAUGGUUGUCGUCAGCUCGUGUCGUGAGAUGUUGGGUUAAGUCCCGCAACGAGCGCAACCCUUGUCCUUAGUUGCCAGCAUUAGGUUGGGCACUCUAAGGAGACUGCCGGUGACAAACCGGAGGAAGGUGGGGAUGACGUCAAAUCAUCAUGCCCCUUAUGACCUGGGCUACACACGUGCUACAAUGGAUGGUACAAAGGGCUGCGAGACCGCGAGGUUUAGCCAAUCCCAUAAAACCAUUCUCAGUUCGGAUUGUAGGCUGCAACUCGCCUACAUGAAGCCGGAAUCGCUAGUAAUCGUGGAUCAGCAUGCCACGGUGAAUACGUUCCCGGGCCUUGUA